rnacentral:rRNA from 1 species
GACGAACGCUGGCGGCGUGCUUAACACAUGCAAGUCGAACGGAAAGGCCCUGCUUUUGUGGGGUGCUCGAGUGGCGAACGGGUGAGUAACACGUGAGUAACCUGCCCUUGACUUUGGGAUAACUUCAGGAAACUGGGGCUAAUACCGGAUAGGAGCUCCUGCUGCAUGGUGGGGGUUGGAACGUUUCGGCGGUUGGGGAUGGACUCGCGGCUUAUCAGCUUGUUGGUGGGGGAGUGGCUUACCAAGGCUUUGACGGGUAGCCGGCCUGAGAGGGUGACCGGCGACAUUGGGACUGAGAUACGGCCCAGACUCCUACGGGAGGCAGCAGGGGGGAAUAUUGCACAAUGGGCGGAAGCCUGAGGCAGAAACGCCGCGUGCGGGAUGACGGCCUUCGGGUUGUAAACCGCUUUCGCCUGUGACGAAGCGUGAGUGACGGUAAUGGGUAAAGAAGCACCGGCUAACUACGUG